rnacentral:misc_RNA from 1 species
AAAAAAAAAAAAACAAGAGUAAUGUUAGACAUCAUAAAGCUGAUUCUUGAUUCUGAAAACAUAAAAAAAAGUAAGCAAUUUUUGUAAAAAUGAGCAAAACGUUAUAGGAGCAUGCUAUAUUUUUUUAUAAUGGCUACAUGAGAACCUGCAGAUUGCUUGCUUAAAAUAAACUAGCCUUAAAUAGGAAGAAACGUACAGCAGGGGAU